UACGGGGGGAGCAAGCGUUGUUCGGAUUUACUGGGCGUAAAGGGCGGGUAGGCGGCCACCGCAAGUCAGUUGUGAAAUCUCUGGGCUUAACCCAGAAAGGUCAACUGAUACUGCGGGGCUAGAGUGCAGAAGGGGCAACUGGAAUUCUCGGUGUAGCGGUGAAAUGCGCAGAUAUCAGGAGGAACACCAAUUGCGAAGGCAGCACUCUGGGACGUGACUGACGCUGAGACGCGAAAGCGUGGGGAGCAAACAGG
rnacentral:rRNA from 1 species